rnacentral:rRNA from 1 species
GGCCCUACGGGGCGCAGCAGGCGAGAAAACUUUGCAAUGUGCGAAAGCACGACAGGGUUAAUCCGAGUGUUUUCUGCUAAAGAAAUCUUUUGUCGGUCCUAAAAACACCGAUGAAUAAGGGGUGGGCAAGUUCUGGUGUCAGCCGCCGCGGUAAAACCAGCACCUCAAGUGGUCAGGAGGAUUAUUGGGCCUAAAGCAUCCGUAGCCGGCUGUGUAAGUUUUCGGUUAAAUCUAUAUGCUCAACAUAUAGGCUGCCGGGAAUACUGCAUAGCUAGGGAGUGGGAGAGGUAGACGGUACUCGAUAGGAAGGGGUAAAAUCCUUUGAUCUAUUGAUGACCACCUGUGGCGAAGGCGGUCUACUAGAACACGUUCGACGGUGAGGAAUGAAAGCUGGGGGAGCAAACCGGAUUAGAUACCCGGGUAGUCCCAGCUGUAAACCAUGCAAACUCAGUGAUGCACUGGCUUGUGGCCAGUGCAGUGCCGCAGGGAAGCCGUUAAGUUUGCCGCCUGGGAAGUACGUACGCAAGUAUGAAACUUAAAGGAAUUGGCGGGGGAGCAC